GAUGAACGCUAGCGGCAGGCUUAAUACAUGCAAGUCGAGGGGCAGCAGGUCUGUAGCAAUACAGAUGCUGGCGACCGGCAAACGGGUGCGGAACACGUACGCAACCUUCCUUUAAGUGUGGGAUAGCCCGGGGAAACCCGGAUUAAUACCACGUAACAUCAUGAAGCGGCAUCGUUUUAUGAUUAUAGUUCCGACGCUUAAAGAUGGGCGUGCGCCUGAUUAGGUAGUUGGCGGGGUAACGGCCCACCAAGCCUACGAUCAGUAACUGGUGUGAGAGCACGACCAGUCACACGGGCACUGAGACACGGGCCCGACUCCUACGGGAGGCAGCAGUAAGGAAUAUUGGUCAAUGGACGCAAGUCUGAACCAGCCAUGCCGCGUGGAGGAUGAAGGUCCUCUGGAUUGUAAACUUCUUUUUAUCUGGGAAGAAACCCACUGAAUCUUCGGUGGUUGACGGUACCAGGUGAAUAAGCACCGGCUAACUCCGUGCCAGCAGCCGCGGUAAUACGGAGGGUGCAAGCGUUAUCCGGAUUCACUGGGUUUAAAAGGGUGCGUAGGUGGGUUGGUAAGUCAGUGGUGAAAAUCUCCGAGCUUAACUCGGAAACUGCCGUUGAUACUAUCAAUCUUGAAUGUUGUGGAGGUAAGCGGAAUAUGUCAUGUAGCGGUGAAAUGCUUAGAUAUGACAUAGAACACCGAUAGCGAAGGCAGCUUGCUACACAAUUAUUGACACUGAGGCACGAAAAGCGUGGGGAUCAAACAGGAUUAGAUACCCUGGUA
rnacentral:rRNA from 1 species